GCCGAAGGAUGCAAGCGUUAUCCGGAUUCAUUGGGUUUAACGGGAGCGUAGGUGGCCUUAUAAGUCAGUGGUGAAAUCUCGAGGCUUAACCUCGAAAUUGCCAUUGAUACUGUAGGGCUUGAGUAUAGUUGCCGUUGGCGGAAUAUGACAUGUAGUGGUGAAAUACAUAGAGAUGUCAUAGAACACCGAUUGCGAAGGCAGCUAACGAAACUAUAACUGACACUGAGGCUCGAAAGUGCGGGGAUCAAACAGG
rnacentral:rRNA from 1 species